rnacentral:rRNA from 1 species
GACGAACGCUGGCGGCGUGCUUAACACAUGCAAGUCGAACGGAAAGGCCCUGCUUUUGUGGGGUGCUCGAGUGGCGAACGGGUGAGUAACACGUGAGUAACCUGCCCUUGACUUUGGGAUAACUUCAGGAAACUGGGGCUAAUACCGGAUAGGAGCUCCUGCUGCAUGGUGGGGGUUGGAAAGUUUCGGCGGUUGGGGAUGGACUAGCGGCUUAUCAGCUUGUUGGUGGGGUAGUGGCUUACCAAGGCUUUGACGGGUAGCCGGCCUGAGAGGGUGACCGGCGACAUUGGGACUGAGAUACGGCCCAGACUCCAACGGGAGGCAGCAGUGGGGAGUAUUGCACAAUGGGCGGAAGCCUGAUGCAACAACGCCGCGUGCGGGAUGCCGGCCUUCGGGUUGUAAACCGCUGUCGCCUGUGACGAAGCGUGAGUGACGGUAAUGGGUAAAGAAGCACCGGCUAACUACGUG